CUCUCUCAUGCCACACUAAUCGCUCCACGGACAUUUCCGAUUCCUUUGCAGACGGCUAUGGUAACUAUGGUAACCAGUCCCGUGAGAGUCCCCUCUGGUUGAAUUGCUCCCUUAAAGUGGAACAGACGCUAAUUCUGAUGAAGAAGACUUCGCUAUCAGCCUGUGCCCUGCCAGAGCUCUGGUCAGUGGCUGCCCAGCUUGCUAAGAUGUCAUUUCUGUCAUGAGGUUAUUCCCACAGGAACCUCAGUGAGUACUGGCACUUUACAGGCGGCACUCCAGGACAGUCGUGAGCACUGCCUAACACACAAUGGUACCUCUAUGAAAGGAUGGUGAUGUGAAUUGCUCUCACUUCCUUUUACUGGGUGUUAUAGAGAGGACGAGAGCCAGGACGCGUAGAGACACAGGCACACAGAGAGCAAGGCUCCCAGAGCCAUGCUUCAUCAGCUGUUGGAACAAGAAAAGGAAUUCAAGUGAACAGGACUUGUGUUUCUGAAUUCUCAACCUGUCUACUGUAGAGAGAGGCCUCUGUGAUUCCAGCAUUGGAGGAUUUCCUUGGCGGAAAUGAAGACCCGCGUGGACUUAGAGAUUUUUCACACUGUCUUCAGUGAGGAGCAAGGGCGGGCUUCCGGCAUGCUGAUGGAAAGUUCUACCACUUCACUACUGACUGAUUAUGCAGUGACAGAGCUAAGUCCAGGUCUUCGACUGAGCAUGGUGAGUGCUCUGCAGG
rnacentral:lncRNA from 1 species